AACGAACGCUGGCGGCAGGCUUAACACAUGCAAGUCGAACGCCCCGCAAGGGGAGUGGCAGACGGGUGAGUAACGCGCGGGAACGUACCUUUCGCUUCAGGAUAGUCCCGGGAAACUGGGUUUAAUACUGGAUACGCCGUAUUGGGAAAGAUUUAUCGGCGAAAGAUCGGCCCGCGUUGGAUUAGCUAGUUGGCGGUGUAAUAGACCACCAAGGCGACGAUCCAUAGCUGGUCUGAGAGGAUGAUCAGCCACACUGGGACUGAGACACGGCCCAGACUCCUACGGGAGGCAGCAGUGGGGAAUCUUGGACAAUGGGCGCAAGCCUGAUCCAGCCGUGCCGCGUGAGUGAAGAAGGCCUUAGGGUUGUAAAACUCUUUCGCCGGAGAAGAUAAUGACGGUAUCCGGAGAAGAAGCCCCGGCUAACUUCGUGCCAGCCGCCGCGGUAAUAC
rnacentral:rRNA from 1 species